GAUGAACGCUGGCGGCGUGCCUAAUACAUGCAAGUCGAGCGAACAGACGAGGAUCUUUCGCCUCUGACGUUAGCGGCGGACGGGUGAGUAACACGUGGAUUACCUACCUAUAAGACUUAGAUAACUUCGGGUAACCGGAGUUAAUACCGGAUAAUAUCUUCAACCGCAUGGUUCUAUAGUGAUAGAUGGUUUUGCUGUCACUUAUAGAUGUAUCCGCACCGCAUUAGCUAGUUGGUAAGGUAACGGCUUACCAAGGCAACGAUGCGUAGCCGACCUCAGAGAGGGAUAGGCCACCCGAGAACUGAACCGCGGACCAGGCUACUACGAGAGGCAGCAGUAGGGAAUCGGCGGCAGUGGGCGAAAGCCUGGCAGAACAAGGGCGAGUGAGAGAUAAAGGUCUUGGGAUCGUAAAACUGUGUUAUUAGGGAAGAACAAAUGUGUAAGGAAAUAUGCACAUAUUGACGGUACCUAAUCAGAAAGCCACGGCUAACUACGUG
rnacentral:rRNA from 1 species